AGAGUUUGAUCCUGGCUCAGGACGAACGCUGGCGGCGUGCUUAACACAUGCAAGUCGAGCGGUAAGGCCUUUCGGGGUACACGAGCGGCGAACGGGUGAGUAACACGUGGGGAUCUGCCCUGCACUCUGGGAUAAGCUUGGGAAACUGGGUCUAAUACCGGAUAUGACCGCAUGCCGCAUGGUGUGUGGUGGAAAGAUUUAUCGGUGCAGGAUGGGCCCGCGGCCUAUCAGCUUGUUGGUGGGGUAAUGGCCUACCAAGGCGACGACGGGUAGCCGACCUGAGAGGGUGACCGGCCACACUGGGACUGAGACACGGCCCAGACUCCUACGGGAGGCAGCAGUGGGGAAUAUUGCACAAUGGGCGGAAGCCUGAUGCAGCGACGCCGCGUGAGGGAUGAAGGCCUUCGGGUUGUAAACCUCUUUCAGCAGGGACGAAGCGUGAGUGACGGUACCUGCAGAAGAAGCACCGGCUAACUACGUGCCAGCAGCCGCGGUAAUACGUAGGGUGCGAGCGUUGUCCGGAAUUACUGGGCGUAAAGAGUUCGUAGGCGGUUUGUCGCGUCGUUUGUGAAAACCCGGGGCUCAACUUCGGGCUUGCAGGCGAUACGGGCAGACUUGAGUGUUUCAGGGGAGACUGGAAUUCCUGGUGUAGCGGUGAAAUGCGCAGAUAUCAGGAGGAACACCGGUGGCGAAGGCGGGUCUCUGGGAAACAACUGACGCUGAGGAACGAAAGCGUGGGUAGCAAACAGGAUUAGAUACCCUGGUAGUCCACGCCGUAAACGGUGGGCGCUAGGUGUGGGUUCCUUCCACGGGAUCUGUGCCGUAGCUAACGCAUUAAGCGCCCCGCCUGGGGAGUACGGCCGCAAGGCUAAAACUCAAAUGAAUUGACGG
rnacentral:rRNA from 1 species